rnacentral:lncRNA from 1 species
GAACAAAGAGUUAACCUAGGAUGAGUGGGCCAAGGUUGAGCUCCUUGACUGUGAGUCAUCUGCUGGAAUAGCAAUAAAUGUCCUCUAUCACUGAGCUUUCUAUCCCCAGACCUUAUUCCUGAGGAAAACUACUUCUAAGUUUUCAGUGAGUUCCUAAAGUAUUUGCCAAGCCACUCCAAUUUUACAGGACACAGGAUCUCAACUUGACCUUCUCUUUCGUAUCCUGUCAAUCAAAGCGCAUGUGUAUGAAGUGAAGAUCUUUGCUUGCAGUUUCAAAGCCAGUUUUCAAGUCAUGAAGAUAAACGCUUGGCACACCUCUUGCGAUUUGCUGGUGAGUUAUGAUCUCCAUAGGUGGAUGCUGCCGGCCUACCAACAGUGGGCUGUGUGUGAUCUUUGAAAUGGUUAUUUCCACAAGAAAGCAUUUUCUUCUGGAUUGCUGCUUUGAAAAACUUAAAGAGAGUUGGCUAGAAUUUGAAGGCACAGAACGAUGCAGUAUGUGCUUUCUGUCAGGAUUGCACAACUGAACAGCAGAAGUUUGCAGUAGUGAUGAAGAACAUGAGUCUUAUAGUCUCUCAUUAGGAAAAACUAGAGAGCCGAAUGGGAGAAAUGCCAAUGUUUGGGGUGUUUCAGAUAAAGCUAUAAAGCGCAGACGUUUCUCUGAAGUUUAUCUGCGUUCAUCUGAACAACCCAAGUCUAGAGAUCAGCUUGCCGAUCUACCACAGUAAUUUCUCUGGCAAGACUUCCAGUGUCUCCCUGUUCCUGACUCUUUCAUUGGAUCUUACAACCUUGGCUUUGUCUUAUCCCUGUAAUAAAAGAAACAUGAUGGC